rnacentral:rRNA from 1 species
AUUGAACGCUGGCGGCAGGCCUAACACAUGCAAGUCGAACGGUAGCACAGAGAGCUUGCUCUUGGGUGACGAGUGGCGGACGGGUGAGUAAUGUCUGGGAAACUGCCCGAUGGAGGGGGAUAACUACUGGAAACGGUAGCUAAUACCGCAUAACGUCUUCGGACCAAAGUGGGGGACCUUCGGGCCUCACACCAUCGGAUGUGCCCAGAUGGGAUUAGCUAGUAGGUGGGGUAAUGGCUCACCUAGGCGACGAUCCCUAGCUGGUCUGAGAGGAUGACGAGCCACACUGGAAUUGAGACAGGGUCCAGAGUCCUACGGGAGGCAGCAGUGUGGAAUAUUGCACAAUGGGCGCAAGCCUGAUGCAGCCAUGCCGCGUGUAUGAAGAAGGCCUUCGGGUUGUAAAGUACUUUCAGCGGGGAGGAAGGCGAUGAGGUUAAUAACCGCAUCGAUUGACGUUACCCGCAGAAGAAGCACCGGCUAACUCCGUGCCAGCCGCCGCCGUAA